rnacentral:tRNA from 1 species
GCCUCAGUAGUCUAAAGGUUUAAGACACUUGUACAGAAUAGAAGAGAUCCAGGUUCAACUCCCGGCUGAGGUA